rnacentral:rRNA from 1 species
CCUACGGGAGGCAGCAGUGAGGAAUAUUGGUCAAUGGCCGUAAGUCUGAACCAGCCAAGUCGCGUGAAGGAAGAAGGAUCUAUGGUUUGUAAACUUCUUUUAUAGGGGAAUAAAGGUAUCCACGUGUGGAUAUUUGCAUGUACCCUAUGAAUAAGCAUCGGCUAACUCCGUGCCAGCAGCCGCGGUAAUACGGAGGAUUCAAGCGUUAUCCGGAUUUAUUGGGUUUAAAGGGAGCGUAGGCGGAUUGUUAAGUUAGUGGUGAAAUCAUGCGGCUCAACUGGAGAAUUGCAGGUGAAACGGGCAGUCUUGAGUAGAGUAGAGGGGGGCGGAAUUCUUGGUGUAGAGAGGAAAUGCGGAGAGAUCACGAAGAACUCAGAGUGCGAAGGCAGAUCACCGGACUGCAACUGACACUGAGGCUCGAAAGUGUGGGGAUCAAAAAGGAUUAGAUACACUGGUAGUC